GGUGGGCAUGGUCGCAAACACCUGUAGUCUCAGCUUCUCUGGAGCCUGAGGCAGGAGCAUCUGUUGAGCCGGGAGUUCUGGGCCAUAGUGUGGUAGGCCGAUCAGGUGUUCACACUAAAUUCAGCAUCCGUAUUGUGACCUCCUGGGAGCAAGGCACCACCAGAUUGACUAAGGAAGGGUGAACUUGGCCCAGGUCGGAAAUGGAGCAGGUCAUAAGUAACUCCUGAGCUGAUCAGCAGAAGGAUCGCGAAUGUGAACAGCUACUGCAUUCCAGCCCGGGCAACAUAGCGAGACCUCAUCUCUU
rnacentral:SRP_RNA from 1 species